GGCAGAGCCGCCGGUACUGCUGAAGGAAGCUGGUACCCACACGGGAACAAGGACCAGACUAGCAGGACUUCUGCACACGUCGACUUGUGGUCACAUGAGAUCUACGUCAGCAGUGAGGGGGAAAAUGUUAAAAAUGGAAGGAAAUAAUGUUUGGCUCUAAAACCAUGGUGAUGUGUUGCCAAGAUGCUGUGCUGCCUGAAGAAUAAUCAGUCGAUCAAUUGUCAGUGCUGAGGAGCAAACCUAGGGCCUGGUGCAUGCUAGGUAAACCCUCUACAAUUGAGCUGUAUCCCCCUGAAAGAUAACACUGAUGUAAGGCAUUUGGCUAACAGACAGUCUUUGACAAAUAUUGGUUGCCUUUGGUAAAAGUCACAGAUUUGUAAAGAACUGUAUAAUUUUUAGAGGCAAUAUUUAAAAGAUAAAACAAGGAACCAUCAAAUGUAUUUUUAUAUGGUAUAAGCUCUGAUGGCCCUUUGUGAAGGAAAAUAAAGAGCUCAAUGGAUCUUGUGGAAGGGAAAAAGUCUUUAACCCUUGUCAUUUUAUUUCCCUUGAUACCCAUCACAUUACUAUAUCUUCUGGGAAGCAUGUGCAUUUGUGCACUAGGAAACUCAAUAUAUAAUUCUUUGUGUCUGCUUGACAGAACACUGAUAAGAGGUACAGGAGCUAUUAGUCCCUGCUGUAGUUUUGAUAAGGUUUAAAUGUGUCCCCCAAGGGUUUAUGUGGCAGAAGCUUGGUCCCUAGUGUGGUAAUGUGGGAGGGGAUGGAACUGUUAAGAGGUGAAGCCUACUGGGAGGUCAUUAGGAAAUGUAGGGUAAUGCUCUCUAAAGAAAUUAAUGUAGUUCUCAUGGUACACCCUGGUUUGCACAGGAGAGUUGUUAUAGAACAGUGAUUCUAACUCUUGAAUUGCUCUCAGGUUUUUUGUCCUGCCAUGUGAUCUAACCCUCUUGCGUGUACUCAUGCCAUGAUACCAUUCACCAUGCUGUGUUGUAGCCAGAAGGCUCUUGCCAGAGCAGAGUCAAUGUUGAUGCCAUGCCCUUGGAUGUACAGAACCGUGACAUAAAUAAUGGGUUAUCUUUAUAAAGUACCCAGCCUCAGAUAUUUUAGUAUAGUAGUAGGAAAAGUACUAAUACAGUUCCAGUGCCAGACUUAGAGCUGACUACAUACCUUCAAUAAUUUACUCUCCUUUUAUUGGGUUUACCUGCUAAAAAGAAUUGAGCACAGACAAACACUCACAACUUCAAAAGAAGCAAGGGAUCUGUAAAAUAUUUGGAUAUAUUGUCUCUAGGGAAGAUUAAAAAUCUUGAACAGCAGUGGCUUUUUGCUGGCUUCAUAGAAAUGGUUCUAGAAACCUUUUGAAUGUCCUUAACAGGGAAAGGUGCUUUGCUGCCAUUAUUAACUUUUGUAUGUCCAACAGCCCUGCAAGGAAGAUACUUCAUUUCCAUUUUAUAUAUUAAAAAAACUAAAGAAUUUAGGUCAUAUGCCAAAGUUAUCACCACCUUAAACCUGAGCAAAGAAUACCUCUGCUCAAGGCCUCUAGCCCUCUUGAUGGUGUCUUUCCCAUGAAGUGGUGAACCAAUUGGGCAUGAUAUGCCUAGUUGGAAUCUUCUCUUCUUCCAGAACAUACAAUAGAUAUCUAGAAUCUUAUAUCCUGCCUGUCAUGGUUUGGAUGAGUGUCUCCCAAAGGUCUAUGUGUUAUAGGCUUGGUCCUCAGCAUGGCCACAUUGGGAGGCUCUGUGGAUCUUUAAGAAGUAGGGACUUGUAGGAGGUAGGUCUUUAUUUAUGAGGCUUUAUAUUUUAUUUGGAAAUAAUACUGUUAAAAUGAUUUUGAUAUUUUCCUACACGAACUUACAUUGUUUUUUCCCAGCUGUAAUCUUGGUUUUAUGUACAAAUACAUAGCUACCAUCUUAUUUUUGAUGUAUACCCUAGAAGGGUAAAAAACCAACCAAAAAGUUAUGUUUUGUAUAUGCAGUAUAAGAUUUCAUGCAUUCUCAUGAUAUGAUAUCAAUAAUCAACUAUAGUAAACUAACUGUAGCAAUGUAGUACAUGCUUUAAGUAUCCUAUAAAGAAUACACUUCAGGCAACAUCUCAGUGGCAAGGGGAUGUGCUGGUAUUACAUUGGACUGAUGUGGUAACAGUUAAGGAAAGUAAACACAUUAUUAUUCAAAUUAAAACAUAAAAAGAAUAAAAGAUGUAGAUUUUCAGGUCUACUUUACAGAAUAUUUGUCUCUGAGGCAAUUACAAAAUAGAUUUGGGUUUUAAGGGAUUUUUA